rnacentral:lncRNA from 1 species
GUCACUUCGAGACUAUGUGAAGAGGUUCAAAGCAGAAAAGGCAAAGAUAGUUGGAUGCAACAACUCGAUAGCUAGAGUAGCCUUCCAAAAAAAGACUCCCAGCAGACCACCUGCUGUUCGGAGAAUUGGUCAUGGAAUAAGGUCUAACUCUGGCAGACUCUUUUGCUCUAGCAGAGAAGAAUGCACUUUAGGACAAAGUUCUCCAAUGCAUAUUCAAGGCAAAUCCGAGCGAUCUUGGAUAUGAGUCCCCCACUACUCUGAAUGAGAUUCAAGGUCUGACUAGACGAUCAGCCACAUCUGAAGCAGUAAUAAGCUCUACCCUCUUACAAGAAGAGUUGGGGGCCCAACUACCUGUAUUCCACAGUUUAAAAGCUCUUCUCGAUGCAGAAACUAGCUACCAGAAAUUCAUAAGCUAACUUUGGCGACAAUUGUUGCAACUCGGAAGCUCAAGUUAUACCUUCAGAUGAACGUAUUCAUCCUUAUGAUGCACUAUUCCGCCUAAUCCAGACGUGCGACGAUAGAGGCGUAGACACUGGUGAAUGCAAAGUUUUUAGACUAAUGCAACAACUCGGCCCAAAAGGUGUGCCAAAGGCAGAUGAACACUAGAAGGACACACUUAGAAGCAAGUUUUGUCCUUAUCGCCCCAAAAGAUUCUACAUAGGAGCACUAUGUACCGGCAGUUAAACACCACAUCUUGCUACGUGUCACACGACCCCAGCCAACCCUUACUCCAUAAUUCAACUCUAGAGUGGCCCAAUAUUGGUAGUUGAGUAUCUCCU